UGAAAUGGCAAGUGAAUACGUGAAUCUUUGACAUUUUUUCACAUUGAUUUGCAGAAUAUUUUCUGUGAAGUUAUGGCGCUUUUCCACUGCAUGGUACGGUACGGUUCGGUACGGCACGGCACGCUUUGGCGCUUUUCCACUGCAUGGUACGGUACGGCUCGGUUCGGUACGGCUCAGUUAUGGCGCAUUUCCACUGCAUGGUACGGUACGGUACGGCUCGCUUCGGCUCGCUUUAAAUGGUACCACCUCUGUUGAGGUUCCAAACGUACCGUACCGAUACUAAAAUGUGACGUAAAAACACUGCAGAUCACUGAUUGGUCAGACAGAAUCGUCACUACCAGCGUUGUAUUUGCGACACGAGACACUAAAACCCGCUAGAUUUAAAUAGCCAGACAACAGCCAACGCGGUAGCACCUGUUUUUAGAGUAUUUACUUGAUAAAAGAAUUUUAAAAAUUUCAAAAAAGAAAUGGCUGAAUCGUGGUCAGUGGACGAGGUGCAGACGUUCCUCUUGUUGGUUGCCGAGGAGCGGAUCCAGCGAGAGCUGGAUGGGGCGACACGGAAUGAAAAAGUGUUCCAAGAGUAGCACCAGCUCUUAGCCGCACACGGCUACCACCGCAAACAGAAACAGUGUAGGGACAAAUUAAAAAAAUGAAAAAGUGACUACCGAGCCAUAAAGGAUCACAACGGCCGGAGUGGUGCAAACAGAAGAACGUGGAAGUGGUUCGACCAAAUGGACGCUAUCUACGGAAGUCGACCUGCGAGCAAUGGGAGAGAGGGUGCCCUGGACUCGGCCACCUCGUUGUUGGACAACACAAUCGAGGAUGAUGCACUGUCUAUGAUUGACUCGUUAGAACUUUCUCCGUGCAGUGAUGCCUCAACGUCCCAACUGGUGAUAGCAGCGUCACCACCAGCAACCUCCAGCAGCACCAGCAGGACACCAGAGCGUGUGGUACCAGGCAAGAGGAAACGGAACAUGCACCAUCAGGAGCAUCUUGCUGUUUUAAGAGAGAUGCAGGUGGCUGAUAUUCAACAGCAGGAACUGAACCGGGCACAGAGGGAGCUACAUUUGCAGAUGGCAAUAGAUGAGGCCCGGCAAGCAAGGGAGCAGGAAGCGGCCUUAAGGAGGGAGGAAAAUGCACAAACGGCUGCAUUCAAUCAAGCCUUUCUCAACGUCAUGGGGAUGCUUGUACAGGCGAUGAGUAACAGAACAGAACAGUGACAGAACUGACAAGAACAGAACUCUCUGCCCGACUAAAACCUCCCUAGUCCAUACUUCACGGAAAUAGUUAAUUUUUUAACUUGUUUUUCCUGUGAAUGUUUUUCUACUACAUACGUUUGUGCACAACAUUUAAAGUUUGUUUAGUGUAAAUUUUUUACUUUUAAAUGUUUAUAUAUGUCUUAUUUAUAUAUUUUUUUGCACUACAUACAUUUUCAUAUUUAAAGUUUGCUUGGUGUACAUUCUUUACUUUUAAAUUUGUCUUUAUAUAUGUCUUUAUAUUUUCUUUAUAUACAUUUUUUGCACUACAUACAUUAGUACUUUGUUUAACGUUUAAUCUGUUUACAUUUUUCUUAAAUAAAAUUUACUUGUCAA
rnacentral:lncRNA from 1 species